rnacentral:rRNA from 1 species
AGAGUUAGAUCCUGGCUCAGGGCGAACGCUAGCGGCGCGCCUAACACAUGCAGGUCGUGCGGGAAAGGGCUUCGGCCCUAGUACCGCGGCAGACGGGUGAGUAACACGUGAGCAACCUGUCCCCGGGUCUGGGAUAACCACCCGAAAGGGUGGCUAACACCGGAUAAAGUCACCGGGCGCAAGCUCGGUGAUGAAAGGGGGCCUCUGCAUAGCAAGCUCCUGCCUGGGGAGGGGCUCGCGGCCCAUCAGCUAGUUGGUGGGGUAACGGCCCACCAAGGCUAUGACGGGUAGCCGGCCUGAGAGGGUGGUCGGCCACACGGGCACUGAGACACGGGCCCGACUCCUACGGGAGGCAGCAGUGGGGAAUCUUGGGCAAUGGGCGAAAGCCUGACCCAGCGACGCCGCGUGGGGGAAGAAGGCCUUCGGGUCGUAAACCCCUGUUCUGGGGAAGAACCCUGAACGGGUUAAUAGCCCGUUCAGGCUGACGGUACCCCAGGAGAAAGCCACGGCUAACUGCGUGCCAGCAGCCGCGGUAAUACGCAGGUGGCGAGCGUUGCCCGGAAUCACUGGGCGUAAAGGGUGCGUAGGCGGCAGGGCAAGUCGCGGGUUAAAGCCCGGGGCUCAACCCCGGAAAGGCCUGCGAUACUGCCUUGCUUGAGGGCCGGAGAGGCUGGCGGAAUUCCCGGUGUAGGGGUGAAAUCCGUAGAUAUCGGGAGGAACACCGGUGGGGAAGCCGGCCAGCUGGACGGUUCCUGACGCUGAGGCACGAAAGCGUGGGGAGCAAACCGGAUUAGAUACCCGGGUAGUCCACGCCGUAAACGAUGGGUGCUAGGUCUGGGGAGGAAACUCUCUGGGCCGAAGCUGACGCGUUAAGCACCCCGCCUGGGGAGUACGGCCGCAAGGCUGAAACUCAAAGGAAUUGACGGGGGCCCGCACAAGCGGUGGAGCACGUGGUUUAAUUCGAUGCAAAGCGAAGAACCUUACCUGGGCUUGACAUGCCAGGGUUGUACCCCGGUGGAAACACUGGGGGAGCGUGGGUUUUUACUCACGCGCUCUGGCACAGGUGCUGCAUGGCUGUCGUCAGCUCGUGCCGUGAGGUGUUGGGUUAAGUCCCGCAACGAGCGCAACCC